CGAUGUGGGGUUCAAAGACACAGGAGGGCAUGGAUGAGAGGAACGGCAGCCUGUGCUUGGCAGACCUAGCGAGGGAGUAGCACUACUUGAAAGGAUGAGGAGGCAUUGGGGGAAGUGUGUCACUGGGAGUGUGAGGUUUCAAAAAACCUGGAGUCUCGUUCUUUCCUGCUGCAUGUGGAUCCAGAUGUAGAAUUUCUAGCUAUUUCGGUACUACCUUAUCUUCCUGCAUGCCACCAUGCUUCUCACCACGAUGACAAUGGACUAAACUUCUGAAACUCCCCUGUAUGCCCCGUUUCUAGCUUCCUGGCUUCUACAAGCACUUCAAGUUAAACACAGAAAUCUAGAAAUUUGGAGCUGAAAUACACAUAUGAGAGUAAGCAUAUGGUAUCUGUCUUUCCGGGCUGGAUGACCCCUCUCAUUGUAUGUUCCAGUUUCAUCCAUUUU